AGCUAAGUGGCGCACGGGUGAGUAAUGUAUAGGUAAUGUGCCUUCUAGAAGGGGAUAAUUGUUGGAAACGACUUGUAAGACCCUAUAUGCCUUUUGAACAUAAGUUCGUAAAGGGAAAUAUUUUAUAGCUAGAAGAUCAGCCUGUAUGGUAUCAGUUAGUUGGUGGGGUAAUGGCCUACCAAGACUAUGACACCUAACUGGUUUGAGAGGAUGAUCAGUCACACUGGAACUGAGACACGGUCCAGACUCC
rnacentral:rRNA from 1 species